rnacentral:sRNA from 1 species
GCUGGGUGAGCUGCCGCACACCUGUCAUCCCAGCGCCUCGGGAGGCUGAGGCAGGAGGAUCGCGAGUUCAGAACCAGCCUCAGCAACUUAGGGAGGCCCUCAGCAACUCAGUGAGACCCUGUCUCUA